AAUCCUUGAAUAAUGUUCUCCAAAGCUAAUGUGGUUUAAAACUCUGUUUUUAGCUUUAUCUGAGAAUGUUUCAGGGGUUUAAAGAGAUAAUAAAUUAUGACUUUAUAUAAAUAAAACCAACUGUGACUGAGAUCAAGUGAUCAUUUUCUUCUAUCUAAGCCUGAGCAGGAGGCAAAAUGCACAGCUUAAUUGUUAGGGGAAUGAAGAGAAUAUUUGUAUUUUCCCCUUCAGAGGAUGAUACUGGCACAGAUGCGUUCCCAGAUGUUAAGGUCAUUUCAAGGCAGCUGUAAGUCAGGCCUCUGUUUAAACAUCAUUCAGGGAGUCCUCUUUAGCAGCAGAAAGGAUAUCUGGGAAAUACCACAAGCCAUAGACGUCAAGAACAAGGAAAUGAACAACAGGCGAAGAUGCAGAAAAAAAUUAUGUCCAGUGCAUUAAAGGACAAGAAUACUAGAACAGGCAUAUUUUAAAUAAUGAUUACAUUUACUAACUAGACCAACAAUUCAAGGGCUAGAGGAUUGAAUAUAAAUCCCUGUCUGUGUGACAGUACUGGGUAACUCUGUAUUGUGUAAGGCACCAUCAUCUAUCUGUGCUCUAAAAAACAUUCUCUGACUACAAGUAUCUAGAAAGUAUUUCUCUGUUACAGUGAACAUGUCACAUCUAAAACAGUUGGUGAACAGGCCGACUCUG